ensembl:lncRNA
UGGUAGAGCACUGAACUGAGUUUUAACCAGAUGCUUUUAAUGGCAAAUGAUUUUAAACGAUAGGAGAUGAUGAAAUAUGUACGGUGCUGUUAUUAACUUAGAUAAACGAAUGACCUUUUACUGUCAUACGAUCAAAAGUCUUAAACUUCUGGAGAAGAAACCACCAGUUCAAAACGUUCAUCGGAUUAAAUACUAUAUUUUUCAUAAAUGUAUAUUUUUCAGUCAGACCACCUCGACAUAAACUCUGGUUGGUUUCAUAUGUUUUAAAAGCAUAUCAAAUAUUGUCUGUCUAUAAAGUUGGAAUGUAUUCAAUGUACUGUAUAGGCUACAGUGAUCUCCUAUGUAUGUUAUUGACAACUCUGAUCUUCUAAAUGACAAACGCUGUGGAAUUUGGUACAGUAUAUUAUCAUUGUCAAUAAUAACAACUCCACCUGAAAAACUGUGUUGGUCAUCUUGACCUUGUCUCCUUAUUUUAAAAACGAUUUUACCAAUAGAAGGUGUGUUAGGGCAAUAAUUUUCGC